ACUCCUACGGGAGGCAGCAGUGGGGAAUAUUGCACAAUGGGCGAAAGCCUGAUGCAGCAACGCCGCGUGAGCGAUGAAGGCCUUCGGGUCGUAAAGCUCUGUCCUCAAGGAAGAUAAUGACGGUACUUGAGGAGGAAGCCCCGGCUAACUACGUGCCAGCAGCCGCGGUAAUACGUAGGGGGCUAGCGUUAUCCGGAAUUGCUGGGCGUAAAGGGUGCGUAUGUGGUUUCUUAAGUCAGAGGUGAAAGGCUACGGCUCAACCGUAAUAAGCCUUUGAAACUGGGAAACUUGAGUGCAGGAGAGGAGAGUGGAAUUCCUAGUGUAGCGGUGAAAUGCGUAGAUAUUAGGAGGAACACCAGUUGCGAAGGCGGCUCUCUGGACUGUAACUGACACUGAGGCACGAAAGCGUGGGGAGCAAACAGGAUUAGAUACCCUGGUAGUC
rnacentral:rRNA from 1 species